GGAGAGAUGGCUGAGUCUGGCUGAAGGCGCUCGCCUGGAAAGCGGGUAGACGGCUUCCCGUCUCGGGGGUUCGAAUCCCCCUCUCUCCGCCA
rnacentral:tRNA from 1 species